GACGAACGCUGGCGGCGUGCCUAAUACAUGCAAGUCGAGCGCAGGAAGUCGACGGAACCCUUCGGGGGGAAGUCGAUGGAAUGAGCGGCGGACGGGUGAGUAACACGUAAAGAACCUGCCCUCAGGUCUGGGAUAACCACGAGAAAUCGGGGCUAAUACCGGAUGGGUCAUCGGACCGCAUGGUCCGAGGAUGAAAGGCGCUCCGGCGUCGCCUGGGGAUGGCUUUGCGGUGCAUUAGCUAGUUGGUGGGGUAAUGGCCCACCAAGGCGACGAUGCAUAGCCGACCUGAGGGGGGGAUCGGCCACACUGGGACUGAGACACGGCCCAGACUCCUACGGGAGGCAGCAGUAGGGAAUCUUCCACAAUGGACGAAAGUCUGAUGGAGCAACGCCGCGUGAACGAUGAAGGCCUUCGGGUCGUAAAGUUCUGUUGUAAGGGAAGAACAAGUGCCGCAGGCAAUGGCGGCACCUUGACGGUACCUUGCGAGAAAGCCACGGCUAACUACGUGCCAGCCGCCGCAGUAAAAC
rnacentral:rRNA from 1 species